GGAAGGGAGGCCAUCUGGUCUGGCACGCGGCUUCGAAAGCCGUCGGGGUCCUGCCCCAGGGGGUUCGAUUCCCUCCCCUUCCG
rnacentral:tRNA from 1 species